GUGCCAGCAGCCGCGGUAAUACGGGGGAUACGAGCGUUAUCCGGNUUUAUUGGGUUUAAAGGGUGCGCAGGCGGAUCGGUAAGUCAGGGGUGAAAAGUUGGGGCUCAACUCCAAUCGUGCCUUUNAUACUGCCGGACUAGAGUGCGAUAGACGUGGCCGGAAUGUGAUGUGUAGCGGUGAAAUGCUUAGAUAUGUCACAGAACACCGAUCGAGAAGUCAGGUCACGAGCUCGCAACUUGACGCUCAGGCACGAAAGCGUGGGGAUCAAACAGGAUUAGAUACCCUGGUAGUCCACGCUGUAAACGAUGAUCACUCGUUGUUGGGCAGCAAUGUUCAGUGGCCAAGCGAAACAAUAAGUGAUCCACCUGGGGAGUACGAUCGCAAGGUUGAAACUCAAAGGAAUUGACGGGGGCCCGCACAAGCGGAGGAGCAUGUGGUUUAAUUCGAUGAUACGCGAGGAACCUUACCCGGGCUUGAACGUAAGACGAAGUUGCAGGAAACUGCAAGCCUUCGGGCGUCUUGCGAGGUGCUGCAUGGUUGUCGUCAGCUCGUGCCGUGAGGUGUUAGGUUAAGUCCUGCAACGAGCGCAACCCUUACCUUCAGUUACCAGCACGUCAUGGUGGGGACUCUGAAGGAACUGCCUACGCAAGUAGAGAGGAAGGUGGGGAUGACGUCAAAUCAGCACGGCCCUUAUGUUCGGGGCUACACACGUGCUACAAUGGCGCGCACAGAAGGUUGCGACCCUGCGAGGGGGAGCCAAUCCCGAAAGCGCGUCUCAGUUCGGAUUGGAGUCUGAAACUCGACUCUAUGAAGUUGGAUUCGCUAGUAAUCGCGCAUCAGCCAUGACGCGGUGAAUACGUUCCCGGGCCUUGUACACACCGCCCGU
rnacentral:rRNA from 1 species